AGCACCACGCCCACAUAUGAUCUACCACUUAGCUCCCACGUGUCAAGAGCUAAGCGCUUUGCAAACUUAUACAUAAACUCAUUAUCAAUUAUAACUAUAUCAAAUAUAGAACUAGAGGAAACUAAGAACAUAAUAAAUAGAGACAUAAUGCAAUUAGAAUAAAGUCGUAGAGAAAGAUAUGAAAUAAUAAUAAUCUUUAUUGAUGAAGAUCCGAAAUCCAGAGCGCUAGGCUCUACUUCUCUAAUUCUAUCUAAUCAAUUCUAUAGAACUUGAAGGAAUUGGGAGUAGCUAAUUCUAGUUCUCUGCGGG
rnacentral:lncRNA from 1 species